rnacentral:lncRNA from 1 species
CAUUGAAAGGAGUGAAUAAACGAACAUUGAUGCAAAUUAAUUUCUCGACAUGUAACGUUUUGUUUGGCAUGUUAGACUGUAGAAGACCUGGAAUUUACUGUGGUUAGAGAAGCGAUGUUUAAAGCAUAUUCUUUUAAUGGAUUUUUAUAAAAUGGGUUGAAAUAAAGGAUUUUUAAAAUGCCAGUUCGACGCGGACAUGUCGCCCCUCC